GCAACGAUGGCCGAGCGGUCUAAGGCGCUGCGUUCAGGUCGCAGUAUCUUCGGAUGCGCGAGUUCAAAUCUCGCUCGUUGUA